CCCUUAGAUGUCCUGGGCCGCACGCGCGCUACACUGAUGCGUUCAACGAGCUUGCCUUGGUCGAGAGGCACAGGUAAUCUUUUGAAUGCGCAUCGUGAUAGGGAUAGAUCAUUGCAAUUAUUGAUCUUGAACGAGGAAUUCCUAGUAAACGCGAGUCAUCAGCUCGCAUUGAUUACGUCCCUGCCCUUUGUACACACCGCCCGUCGCACCUACCGAUUGAACGAUUCGGUGAAAACUCUGGAUCGUGACUCGCGUCCUUUAUUGGGCGUGGCGUCGUGAGAAAUUGUGUAAACCUCAUCGUUUAGAGGAAGGUGAAGUCGUANCA
rnacentral:rRNA from 1 species